rnacentral:rRNA from 1 species
UGGUGGAGUGAUUUGUCUGGUUAAUUCCGUUAACGAACGAGACCUCGACUUUUAAAUAAUUUAUGCUAUUUCACAAUAGUCUAUAAAUUAAUUAAAAGGACAAUUUGAUACAAUCAGAUGGAAGUUCGAGGCAAUAACA